rnacentral:rRNA from 1 species
GACGUAGGGCGCGAGCGUUGUCCGGAUUUAUUGGGCGUAAAGAGCUCGUAGGCGGUCUGUCACGUCGGCUGUGAAAACCCGAGGCUCAACCUCGGGCCUGCAGUCGAUACGGGCAAACUAGAGUACUGCAGGGGAGACUGGAAUUCCUGGUGUAGCGGUGAAAUGCGCAGAUAUCAGGAGGAACACCGGUGGCGAAGGCGGGUCUCUGGGCAGUAACUGACGCUGAGGAGCGAAAGCGUGGGGAGCGAACAGG